rnacentral:rRNA from 1 species
GACGAACGCUGGCGGCGUGCUUAACACAUGCAAGUCGAACGGAAAGGCCCUGCUUUUGUGGGGUGCUCGAGUGGCGAACGGGUGAGUAACACGUGAGUAACCUGCCCUUGACUUUGGGAUAACUUCAGGAAACUGGGGCUAAUACCGGAUAGGAGCUCCUGCUGCAUGGUGGGGGUUGGAAAGUUUCGGCGGUUGGGGAUGGACUCGCGGCUUAUCAGCUUGUUGGUGGGGUAGUGGCUUACCAAGGCUUUGACGGGUAGCCGGCCUGAGAGGGUGACCGGCCACAUUGGGACUGAGAUACGGCCCAGACUCCUACGGGAGGCAGCAGUGGGGAAUAUUGCACAAUGGGCGGAAGCCUGAUGCAGCAACGCCGCGUGCGGGAUGACGGCCUUCGGGUUGUAAACCGCUUUCGCCUGUGACGAAGCGUGAGUGACGGUAAUGGGUAAAGAAGCACCGGCUAACUACGUGCCAGCAGCCGCGGUGAUACGUAGGGUGCGAGCGUUGUCCGGAUUUAUUGGGCGUGAAGGGCUCGUAGGUGGUUGAUCGCGUCGGAAGUGUAAUCUUGGGGCUUAACCCUGAGCGUGCUUUCGAUACGGGUUGACUUGAGGAAGGUAGGGGAGAAUGGAAUUCCUGGUGGAGCGGUGGAAUGCGCAGAUAUCAGGAGGAACACCAGUGGCGAAGGCGGUUCUCUGGGCCUUUCCUGACGCUGAGGAGCGAAAGCGUGGGGAGCGAACAGGCUUAGAUACCCUGGUAGUCCACGCUGUAAACGGUGGGUACUAGGUGUGGGGUCCAUUCCACGGGUUCCGUGCCGUAGCUAACGCUUUAAGUACCCCGCCUGGGGAGUACGGCCGCAAGGCUAAAACUCAAAGGAAUUGACGGGGCCCCGCACAAGCGGCGGAGCAUGCGGAUUAAUUCGAUGCAACGCGUAGAACCUUACCUGGGUUUGACAUGGAUCGGGAGUGCUCAGAGAUGGGUGUGCCUCUUUUGGGGUCGGUUCACAGGUGGUGCAUGGCUGUCGUCAGCUCGUGUCGUGAGAUGUUGGGUUAAGUCCCGCAACGAGCGCAACCCUUGUUCACUGUUGCCAGCACGUUAUGGUGGGGACUCAGUGGAGACCGCCGGGGUCAACUCGGAGGAAGGUGGGGAUGACGUCAAGUCAUCAUGCCCCUUAUGUCCAGGGCUUCACGCAUGCUACAAUGGCUGGUACAGAGAGUGGCGAGCCUGUGAGGGUGAGCGAAUCUCGGAAAGCCGGUCUCAGUUCGGAUUGGGGUCUGCAACUCGACCUCAUGAAGUCGGAGUCGCUAGUAAUCGCAGAUCAGCAACGCUGCGGUGAAUACGUUCCCGGGGCU